CAACACUCAAGCUCUGCUUGGUCUUGGGCCGCACCGGCAACGGUCGGCCUUAAAAUCAGUGGCGGUGCCAUCUGGCUCUAAGCGUAGUAAUACUCCUCGCUACAGAGUCCCGGUGGAUGCUUGCCAGCAACCCCCAACUUUCUAA
rnacentral:misc_RNA from 1 species